UAGGGAAUCUUCGGCAAUGGGGGGAACCCUGACCGAGCAACGCCGCGUGAGUGAAGAAGGUUUUCGGAUCGUAAAGCUCUGUUGUUAAGGAAGAACGAGUGUGAGAAUGGAAAGUUCAUACUGUGACGGUACUUAACCAGAAAGGGACGGCUAACUACGUGCCAGCAGCCGCGGUAAUACGUAGGUCCCGAGCGUUGUCCGGAUUUAUUGGGCGUAAAGCGAGCGCAGGCGGUUAGAUAAGUCUGAAGUUAAAGGCAGUGGCUCAACCAUUGUAGGCUUUGGAAACUGUUUAACUUGAGUGCAGAAGGGGAGAGUGGAAUUCCAUGUGUAGCGGUGAAAUGCGUAGAUAUAUGGAGGAACACCGGUGGCGAAAGCGGCUCUCUGGUCUGUAACUGACGCUGAGGCUCGAAAGUGUGGGGAGCGAACAGG
rnacentral:rRNA from 1 species